CUGUGAGCCAAAGAAUAAAUCAGAAUUUUACAAUGACAUGUAAAGUUGUCACAUUCGACUUCACAAACUCCUUUUGGAACAACUGUUGUUGCAAAUUUAUAUUCGCAAUCAAAAUGCAAUUCUAUAAGAGACCUUUUCUACUUCAAUAAUAAAAACUUUAAUCAAAUCCACAAUACCAAGCAGUAUACAUUAAUGGAGUGCUAAAAAAUGAUCAACCCAAAACAAAAACUAUGACCAUCAUCAUUGGCAAAACUUGAUGAUCUUACGUAAUCUCAAAAGAUUCCAGACCACGCAUUUAGAUUAACGAGACUUAUCUGAACCAUCCUUGAAAUAAAACAAAAGACAAGCAUGGAAUCAGAAAGUCCUUUUAAACGUACCGGGAAAGGAAGGCCCAUUGGGAAACCAGCUUUCAAAGUCUCCAGACAAGGAGUAACAUUAAAGGCAAAACACUGGCUUUGCAUGGCCAGAAACAGCAAUAAUGCUUGCUCUCCAUCUUUUCCUUUAUCAAUUUCUCUCACUUCAAAGACUUUUCCUCACAUGGGGGAAGAAUAUUAAGAGCACCUUUUAACGACAAUCUACCACAAUCACCACCGAUAGAUUAUUAGCAGCAAUACAAUGUCAUACACUGGAGAACAAUCUUGCUUUUAUACACAUGGGCAAGUGACCAAGUGGACAGUCUGAUAAUUACAGAAGACCAUUACCUCUCAGAAACAAGCUGAAGAAUUUUUACCCUGUUAUUAUAGCCUUGUUUUUAUGAAUUGUGGCCAAACAUAAAGCAUGAGACAAUGGAAAUUUAGCACCUAUAAAUUUGCGGGGAAAAAGCAGCAACACUGACUUCUAAUUAUGAAGUUAGGAAAUAAAUUGCAACAGUAUGUGAAAGUGAGGAUAGAAAAUUAACAAGUAUAGCCAGCCAAAUGAAAAGCCACAGCUCAAACUGUAACCGCAGUAGAUACACAAACAAAUGAAGAAGAACAUAAAACUUAGCUUUAUCUGCAACAUACAUAUUACUUUCAUUAACAAACAGACUUGAACGAACAAAACAUCAUGUGGUAAACCAGCUAUCUAUGAACCCAUACGAAAUAAGAAAAGUCUACAAGGAGUGAAUUCACACUAGACUCAUUAUCUAAUCAGAGAAAAUCGCUGUUACUAUCUGCCACCAUUCAGCAAAUUCUCUGCUGUGAAAAAACAUCACUAUCGCAAAAUUGAGUUCCAAAAAAAUAACACAACCAAUUCAAUUCAGAGCAAGGCUAAGGAAAAACCUUAAAUGCGAGAGUACCCAGUGUUCGUGGGGCUCCCCACGACCGAAAACAACCUUCCAUCUCCCACAUCUUGCUCAUCCAAAUACAAAUCGUCCGUUCCUCUAAUUGCAGCGUGUAAGACAACAAUUGCAAGCCCAAUCAAUAUGGAAACCAAAACGUUCAACCACACGCGCGUCAAAACCAAGGCCACAAUAGUGACAACCGCGAGCACGCCUAGCACCACACGAUCAUCAAUCGUGCGGUGGAGAAUAACAAGGGGCUCGUCGCGGAAAAAGUAGAGGAAAAACCAGGCGACGAAGACGAUUAAGAAGACAAUCAUGGACAAUGGAUGCCACAGAAGGCUGAGAAAGAGAAUAAAGAGGAUGAUCAUCGUAUAAUUGACGCGAAAGUAGAAAAGGUUGAGCUUAAUGCGUGCGAUUGCUUCGCCGAAGGAGUAAGGACGCGUGAAGGAGGAGAAUUGGAUGAGCUCGAGCCAUGGGCGGCGCUUGGCGAAGAAAGUGGUAGUGGCGUUGUUGGUGGCGCGUGAGAUGAAGGUGGGAGGAGUGGUGGUUGAGGGUAGGGAGCCGAAGGGGGCCGGAGAAGGUGCAGACAUUGGAGACGGGAAAGCUAAACCCUAUGAGAGAGAGGUACAAGUCCCAAUGUUUUCAGAGUGAGAAGUAGCUUAAGCAUCCCAACUGAAUUUCGUUUGAAGAAAGAGGUCGAGUAUCGCAUCUUCCGAUUUUGAAUCCUUGGUUUGGUUCUCUGGAUUAGAUAUUUCAUCAUAUUUGCAAGUUCCGGGGUUGAAACAGCGUCGUUUCGGACUAGCGCAGGACAUUCCGUCUGAUGAGAAGUUUAGCUGGACUAUGCCAUCAGGAACUCAACAAUUCUAUUGAACUCUCACAAUUCUAAUAUUUCAG
rnacentral:misc_RNA from 1 species